CUCAAACACAAGUGAGAUUCAUGGGCGAAAGCAUCACCACCGUCAGAAAAGAGUUAUUGGUGGCGGCAGAAUAUUUCCUGGCGACUUUCCUUGGUUGGUGUCCUUAUAUUUCGAAGGGAAUCAUCCUUUCCAAGUAAAAUCCGGUUUCAAACAUCUUUGCGGUGGCACUUUAAUCCAUCCACAGUGGGUCUUAUCUGCUGCACACUGUUUUAACGCGAUCGCGUUCAACCAUCUUAAUGAUACCAAUUAUUGGACAGUUGUAGCUGGUGAAUACGACUUGAGGAAAAAUGAAAGCUAUGAACAGUUUAGAGCCGUCGAAAAAAUCAUCAGACAUGAAAAC